rnacentral:rRNA from 1 species
UACGUAGGUGGCAAGCGUUGUCCGGAUUUACUGGGCGUAAAGCGUGCGCAGGCGGUUUUGUAAGUCUGAUGUGAAAUCCCCGGGCUCAACCUGGGAAUUGCAUUGGAGACUGCAAGGCUAGAAUCUGGCAGAGGGGGGUAGAAUUCCACGUGUAGCAGUGAAAUGCGUAGAGAUGUGGAGGAAUACCAAUGGCGAAGGCAGCCUCCUGGCCUAAUACUGACGCUCAUGCACGAAAGCGUGGGGAGCAAACAGG